GUGAGCGGCACAGCUCAAAUUUGAAAGCUAGCCUUCGGGUUCGCAUUGUAAUUUGUAGAGGAUGAUUUGGGGAAGCCGCCUGUCUAAGUUCCUUGGAACAGGACGUCAUAGAGGGUGAGAAUCCCGUAUGUGACAGGAAAUGGCACCCUAUGUAAAUCUCCUUCGACGAGUCGAGUUGUUUGGGAAUGCAGCUCUAAAUGGGAGGUAAAUUUCUUCUAAAGCUAAAUAUUGGCGAGAGACCGAUAGCGCACAAGUAGAGUGAUCGAAAGAUGAAAAGCACUUUGGAAAGAGAGUUAAAAAGCACGUGAAAUUGUUGAAAGGGAAGCGCUUGCAAUCAGACUUGUUUAAACUGUUCGGCCGGUCUUCUGACCGGUUUACUCAGUUUGGACAGGCCAGCAUCAGUUUCGGCGGCCGGAUAAAGGCUCUGGGAAUGUGGCCUCCACUUCGGUGGAGGUGUUAUAGCCCAGGGUGUAAUACGGCCAGCCGGGACUGAGGUCCGCGCUUCGGCUAGGAUGCUGGCGUAAUGGUUGUAAGCGACCCGUCUUGAAACACGGACCA
rnacentral:rRNA from 1 species